rnacentral:sRNA from 1 species
GCCAGGCGUGGUGGCGCAUGCCUGUAAUCCCAGCGGCUCAGGAGGCUGAGGCAGGAGGAUCAUGUGUUCAAAGCCAGCCUCAGCAAAAGUGAGGUGCUAAGCAACUCAGUGAGAACCUGUCUCUA